rnacentral:lncRNA from 1 species
GGAUGCAUAGGCUAAGAUGGAUGGAUGCACAGAUGAAUGGAUGAUUUGUGGAUAGAUAGAUGGAUAGAUGGAUGGAUGGAUAGAUGGAUGGAUGGAUGGAUGGAUGAAUCCUUUACAUCCCAAUCCUUCCUCAAUGCUCCAAAAGCCUCUCUCAAAGCCUAAUUGUCCUCCACUGCUCAUUAAACUGACCCUCCAAUGUUUUAACAAAACUCCUCAUCGAUGCAAUUAUCCACAUCAUUUUUUGUGUAUAUUUUCCCCAGUAGAAUGUAAACUCUAACCACUGUCCUUGUCUUCAUUACACAAACAUAUUUCUGAGAAAUCCAUCAUAAGGCAGAAUUCUAGAGGCUGAGAAGUCAUCAGUGGAUGAAAUAAAGAAGGUGCUCUGCCUUCAUGGAACAAAAAUGAGAACUUGGCAGAAACAAGUGGACUUGAAGACAUUUGAAGUCUAUUCCACUCCUUGGAAUCGGAAUUCAAGCAGGCAAAGUGAGCACAGUGGUUUAGUCCCAGCUCUACCUCUUUGUAUAUUCAGUACUGAUUAGGCACCUCUCACCCCAGGGCCUUUGCACACACUGGUCCUUCUGUCUGGAAUGCUUUCCCCCAACACAUAUACAACCUUUUCAUUUGCAUGACUUUAUUUAUCCCUUAUUAAUCAGUUUGGCCUUUCAGAAGUCAUCCUGAUCCACUCCUAGGGUGGGUCAGGGGCUCCCUCAGUGCUCCCACGCUGCCCUGUGAUUCUCCACCACAAUCUCUUUUAUUCUUUCUUCUUUUUUUUAAAGACAGGGUCUUGUUCUGUCACCCAGGCUGCAGUGGCACAAUCAUAGCUCACUGCAGCAUCCAACUCCUGGACUCAAGCAAUCCUCCCACCUCAGCUUCCUGAGUACCUGGGACACACUACCACGCCCAACUAAUGUUUUUGUUUUUAUUUUUAUUUAUGUAGAGGUGGGAUCUCACUAUUUUAGCCAGGCUUGCCUUGAAUUUGUGGCCUCAAGAGAUCCUCCCACCUCAGCCUCCCAAAGCACUGGGAUUACAGGCAUGAGCCACCGUGACUGGCACCCUUGUUAGUCUUGACCACUCAGUGUCAUGACUGCUUGGUUAUAGGUCUGUCCUCCACAUUCGAUUAUAAGUUUCAUGAGGGCAAUCCUUGUACCGUGCUUGUUUCUGUCUCCUCGACACCCAGCACAAUGUCUGCACACAGCAGGUGCUGAAUACAUGCAGGCUCCUUGAAGGGGAACUGCAAGGUGGUGUCCAGAGACUUGAAGCAAUCCUUUAGAGAGUUCUGCUGGUAAAACUCCACCAGCUCCUAGAAGGCGGACCACAUGGCAGAUGCUAUCCCAGCGGGCCAGCCCAUAAGGGGGCAGAGCUAGGAACAGCCAUAUGCAACUCCUCACAUGAAGCAGGCCCUGUUUCUGGCCUCUUUGGAAAGUGACCCCUUGAAUACUCCCCAUGAUGGGGAGUUCAUCACCUCCCUGAGCAGCCAGGACUAUUUAUGGGGAAGGGACCACACUGCCUAAAACAGGUUCUUUCUUUCUUUUUUUUUUUUCUUUGAGACGGAGUCUGGCUCUGUCGCC